rnacentral:rRNA from 1 species
UCGAGAAUUUUGGGCAAUGGGCGAAAGCCUGAUCCAGCCAUGCCGCGUGUGUGAAGAAGGUCUUCGGAUUGUAAAGCACUUUAAGUUGGGAGGAAGGGCAGUAAGUUAAUACCUUGCUGUUUUGACGUUACCGACAGAAUAAGCACCGGCUAACUCUGUGCCAGCAGCCGCGGUAAUACAGAGGGUGCAAGCGUUAAUCGGAAUUACUGGGCGUAAAGCGCGCGUAGGUGGUUUGUUAAGUUGGAUGUGAAAGCCCCGGGCUCAACCUGGGAACUGCAUCCAAAACUGGCAAGCUAGAGUACGGUAGAGGGUGGUGGAAUUUCCUGUGUAGCGGUGAAAUGCGUAGAUAUAGGAAGGAACACCAGUGGCGAAGGCGACCACCUGGACUGAUACUGACACUGAGGUGCGAAAGCGUGGGGAGCAAACAGGAUUAGAUACCCAGGUAGUCCCUGAGCGGGCUGGCAAGGCGCAU